AACCCUGAUGCAGCUAUACCGUGUGUGUGAAGAAGGUCUUCGGGUUGUAAAGCACUUUCAGCGGGGAGGAAGGCGGUAGUGUUAAUAGCGCUAUCGGUUGACGUUACCCGCAGAAGAAGCACCGGCUAACUCCGUGCCAGCAGCCGCGGUAAUACGGAGGGUGCGAGCGUUAAUCGGAAUUACUGGGCGUAAAGCGUACGCAGGCGGCCUGUUAAGUCAGAUGUGAAAUCCCCGGGCUUAACCUGGGAACUGCAUUUGAAACUGGCAGGCUAGAGUCUCGUAGAGGGGAGUAGAAUUCCAGGUGUAGCGGUGAAAUGCGUAGAGAUCUGGAGGAAUACCGGUGGCGAAGGCGGCCCCCUGGACGAAGACUGACGCUCAGGUACGAAAGCGUGGGGAGCAAACGGGAUUAGAUACCCUGGUAGUCCACGCUGUAAACGAUGUCGAUUUGAA
rnacentral:rRNA from 1 species